rnacentral:lncRNA from 1 species
UGGGGUUGUCUUGUAGUAUGGGGGCAGCUUCUAAUUAUAUAUGGAGCUGGAGUGAAUUUAAUAUAUAUCUUUCCCUGUGCUGGUAGGAUUCAGGACUCUUCAGUAUAGGAGGUAGAGUUGGGGGUUUGGCAUGAUGAGGUUGUGGUCUCACAAUGGGAGGUGAAGAACUUGGUGCUUUUUUUAAUAUAAUAUAAUUAUAAAUUAAUUUAAUUUACGGAGAAGGGAAUUUGAGCUUCAGUGCAGGAGGGGCCGGCUUACUAUCCUAGCCAAUUGGCUUACAUCUGUAAAGAACUUAUUGAUUUGACAGGUGGCUCUACUAUGAGAAAAACUUAUAUGAAACAGGGAUAUCACGGUUUUGCUAUCCCUAACCAAUUAUGCUAUGCCAAGUGGAAAAGUUAUCACGUGUGGCAUAGCAUGAUUGAUAGAGGAUAGCAAACCAGUGCUAUACCCAUUGCACAUAAGCAAGGUCUAAAAUAUCGAGAAAAUAUUGGACUCGUUCAAGGUUAAAGAAAACUUAAAAAACAUUAGCCUCUCUCUCUCUCUCUCUCUCUCUCUCUCUCUCUCUCUCUCUCUCUCUCUCCUUGCCGACAACCAACCUUUCUUAAGCUAGGGGAGGUGUCCACUGCCGCUCCUCCCCUCUGCCCAUCUUCUCCAUUCCUAUCCUCUCUCCCAUCUUUUUCCAUUCCUCUCAUCUUUUUUCUCCCUCUUUCCACUUUCCUUAGGGCUCUUGCUGGCCCUUAUCUCCCAUUCCUCUUCUCCUCUCUAGAUAUACUUAGAUCUUGGGCUUUUAGCCUUGAUUUAUUUGGAUCUAGGUAUGUUUGUGUGUUUUUUUUGUUUGGCUAUUUUUGCACUGUUCUAGGUGGCUGGUGUUGUCUUCAUCUCGGUGGCUACAUGUAACAUCCCACAUCGACUUACGAAGAGGGGAUGAUGUGACUUAUAUGUACAUGCUCACCUCCAUCUAGCACGAGGCCUUUUGGGAGCUCACUGGCUUCGGAGUCAUGAGAACUUCGAAGUUAAGCGAGUUUGGGCUAGAGUAAUCUCAGGAUGGGUGACCCAUUGGGAAGUUGCUCAUAAGUUCCCAGAAACAAAAAUCGUAAAGGCAGGGGGCCCAAAGCGGACAAUAUCGUGCUACGACCGAGCCGAUCAGGAAUGUGACACUGCAACAGUAGUGACGCUGGAUUGGGUCUCUCUCUUUAGGAGAGUUGGGAUACUUGGUGACUAAUAUUUUGUCUUUGUUUCAACGAUCGCGGCAGCAUCGACGCUGGUUGUAGUUGUUGGCAUGUGGUGGUGUGCCCUCUGAGGGGUUUCGUCUUCUGUUUUAGCAUAUGUUUUGUUGUCAUUUUCCAUUGUUUUGUUGCUCAUUUGCAGCUUGUCUCUACUCUGUGCAGCCCAAAGACCUAUGUUUGGUCAUAUGAGUUCCUUUGUCAUGUUCUAAGUUGAGUUGGAGUGCUUUUAAGAGGCCUCUCUUAUUAUUAUUUCAUGCUCUUCAACUGUGUGCUUUCUUGGGUUUCUGUCAUUUGUGUGUUUUUGUAGUUCGUAGGCAGUUAAAUGACUAUGAGUUUAUCUCAUAAAAGGCUUCUUUUGACAAUUGGGAUGCGAUGCGGUUCUCUUUAUGGGUCUAUUGUGUUAGUGUUUAAUUGAUUUUUUUUUUUCUGUUCUUGUAAUGGUCUUUUGUGGUUCAGGUCUUAGUCCUUGGCAUGUGUAGUACUCUUUCCUAUCCUAGGGUUUGUCUAAAGUGGUUUUCCUAAUAAGGUUUUAAUUAGGCUAUUGUAUUCAUACUAGUCUUUGUAUGCCGUUUUGGCUUAUUAAUGAAAUCUUCUUCUAUAAAAAAAGGUCUAAAAUAUCAAGGGUUUAGGAAAUAUCGGAGGUCCAAAAAUACGGAAAUAUUGGGAAAUUAUCGAUAUCGAGAAAAAUUGAAUAAAAACCACUGAAACUGUAAGAAAAUUUUGAUUCAAACUUUAGAGGUUGUUUAUUUUGUCAAUUAUCUAUUAUUUUGAUUUAUUUAAGUUGAUUAUAUAGCGAGCUAACAAACAAUAUGAGUGCAGAAAAUAUGUAGUAAUUAAUGAAAAAAAUUAAAUGCCCAUAAUCAUUUAUUCAUAAUGAUUUACUAUAAUAUUUUACACUUUAUAUAUUGCAUGGUAAGAUGCACAAGUGACUUAGUACCACAUAGAGUUCCUAUGAGGUUCAAAAUUUUCAUUGUCUUCAUCGUCUCUAUGUGUAGAGUACGUGUACUAUGAAGAGUAGUCAUCAAAUGGUAAAUUCCCAAAAUAGCUUUGCAUGUAAUUGUUAACAUGUCACCCAUAAAGAUCCAAGAUUGGUUGACGUUGCCCAUAAGCAAAAUCAUUUGAAGAUUGGGCAUCAGAUUCUUUUCAUGAGCCGCUUGAUUCUAUCCCAAAAGGCAUGGGAUACGAAGCAUAAGGAAAGAGUUGGUUUUGCAUAUAAUAAAGUCAUUAGCAGUGUGGAGGAUAAGGCAUUGGAGGAAGAAUUGAAGUGGCACGGGUUCGAAUCCCCAUGCUUACACGCGUACAAGCCUUUUCAAUUUUUUUUUUUCUAUUCCAUGUCCAUAUUGCAUUAUUAUCACUAUUAUCACGAUAUUUUGAGCAAAUGUUGAUGUUAAUUGAAGGAUAUUAUUAGUGUCGAAAUUUUCCCAAAAUUUUCACGAUAUUAUCUAUAUAUAUAAAGCAAAAGGCAGAGAAUGGUGAAACAUUCAAAAUACCAGAAAAUGCCCUUGGUUAAUACAAACAUUAAGAAUUGAAAUUAUUAAUUAAAUGAGGAUAAUAUGGUAAAUUCAUAAUUUUUCGUAUUAAAAAAAUUAAAAUUAAAAGAAAAUUCAGAUAAUAGGUCCUAUUUUUAUGGAACACAAAUAUCCAUUAUCUUUUUUAAUUCUAAAAUAAAUUUAAAUUUUUUUUAAAAAAAACCUCUCGCAUGCGCGGAAGCGCGUGUAGAGAGGCUAGUCUAUAUUUAUAUGAUAAGUACACAGAUCUGUUCCAAAAUAUCCCCUUGCCGAAAAACGAUAAUAUCCUCAAUAUUUCAGCGAUAUUAUCGAUAUUUCAGUCCUUGCACACAAUUAAGUUUCUCCUCUACUAUAGCACAAUCUCCAAACAAUAGCACACGCAACUUUGAGAAACUUUUGAAAGCAAUUUUCCAUCAAAAUCCUGAUAUUGAUUUGAUUGCCCUCCACAAGAAAACAUUCUAUGUAAUCAAUUUGACACGUGUGAUCAUAUUGCCCUUAAUAUAUUAGUACUUUUUUUCUUCUUCUGAAAACAAGAAGAGGUUUCAAAUUUAAAUCCCUUUUCCGUUAAUUUUUUUUUAAAAAUGAUGUUGGUGUAGUGCCUAUUAAAGAUGGCUUGGCGGUAAAGUUAGUCUAAUGAGAUUCUAAGAUAUAGAUGGAUUGUUUAGUUCAAGAUUUAGGAGCUUAGUAAUUGGUAUGAAAUUGCAUUCCCAUAUUUGGUAAAUGCAUUUUUUAGAAUGCAAUACCUAACUCAUUAGUAUGAAAUUCUCAUGUAGAGAGAAUUUCAUACCUUUAGUGCUCCUUGGGAAACUCUUCGUCUAUUGACCCUUAAAAUAGGGUCUAGUCUAGUGGAAAAGAGCAUUGACUUGCAGGUCAGUUGUCUCAUGUUUGAAUCUAGAUGGCACUUUGGAUGUGAGAAACCCUUUUGUAGGACUUAGACUAUCAAUAAUAUUAAAAUAAUACUAAUAAUAACUCAAGGGUGUUACUGAAAAACUGAAAAACUGAAAACUGAAAAACUUUUCAUUUAUAAUACUACACGAACCACACAUAGGAAUGCGAGAAAAUGGCUUUUCCUAAUUCUCACUUCCCAGCGUUCCCAAUCAUGGGAAUGAACAUCCGUCAUUCCCAUAUCGUAGGAUUAGACAUGGAAAUUUCAUUCCCAUGAAAUUUGCAAACCAAACGGGACAGAGAGUUGGAACAAUGCAAAGAUUUUGUUUAUCUUUUGGUUGGGCCAAUAAGUUUCUGGGCCUCCAUUUAUUGUAUCUGGGCCGUUAGAUUUCGGCCUCCCUGUUCUGUUUGUAACCCAGCGGAGGUUGGAGCGCUUUUCUUGUUCUUUGGGCUUAGUUAUAUUUCCUUGUUCUUUGGGCUAUUUCUAAAUUAUUUGGGUUGUGCCUUUUUCUGCGUUUGACGUCGUUUAAUGUUUAAUUUGUUUGAUUUUUGAGUUGGAGCUGGUUGGGUCCUUCUCAUUUGAAGGUAGGGUCAGUCUCAAAUGGAAAAUAUUAUUGCUUGAUGUGAAAAAUAAAGAAAUUCGGUUUUGUGGGCUUAUGGCCUAAAUUAAUUGAGGAAUAAUGCCAUUCAAAAGACUGAAUUAACAUGACCCACAUUUUUCCAUCCUGGAAAACUUGUUCCUUAAGCAGAUCAUGGCUACUGAUGAAGUAAAGAAGAAAGGGAUGCUUAAAAAGAGAUAUAUAUAUAUAUAUAUCAAAUGAGCCAAGAAUUAAUGAAAUUUUGUAAAACUGAGAUUACUGAAUUACUUGAAAAAGGAAUAAUCUGUAAGAUUAGUCACCCUGGUCUUGUCCUGCUUUCUAUGUCCAGAAAAAUGCUGAAUUAGAACGCGGAGUCCUAAGAUUAGUCAACCCAAGUGGCUGGUUUAGAUUUUCUGAGUCAAAAGAGUCUUUGAGCACAGCUUCAAGAAAGUCACUCCAGUUGAAUUAUGAGAUUCCUAAAGCCCAUGUCUGUCAAAAUAAAAUCUGUUUUAAGACUUCUUUUGUCUUAGUUAAGAACAUUACUGAUGAAGUCAUCCUAGGUUUAUCCUUUAUUGCCCUUUUAUAUCCUUUCCAGGUAGAACACGAUGGAGUCAUUUCCACCUGUUUAGGAGAAAAGGUUAAGUUUGAAUUCCUUAGUAAACCAGAGUUACAUAAUUUAAAAGAAUUACAAAAGAAUGCAGUCACUAAAACAAUCAGAGUCAUUCAAAAUAAAGAUAAGCAACUAAAAUUCCUCCAGGACGAAGUUAAAUAAAAAAGAAUUGAGCAACAGCUUAGUCAUGAGUCUUUACAGUCACAAAUUCGACAGUUUGAAGAAAAAUUAAAACAAGAAGUUUGUUCUGAGUUGCCCAACGCCUUUUGGCAUAGGAAACAGCAUGUAGUCAGCCUUCCUUAUGUCAAAUCCUUUAGUGAGAAAAAUAUCCCCACUAAAGCCAGACCAAUUCAAAUGAGCCAAAAAUUAAUGGAAUUUUGUAAAACUGAGAUUACUGAAUUACUUGAAAAAGGAAUAAUCCGUAAGAGUAAGUCACCUUGGUCUUGUCCUGCUUUCUAUGUCCAGAAAAAUGCUGAAUUAGAACACAGAGUCCCAAGAUUAGCCAUUAAUUACAAACUGCUUAAUACUGUUUUAGAAUGGAUUAGAUAUCCAAUCCCCAAUAAAAGAGAUUUAAUUAAUCGUUUAGAGAAGUCAGUCAUCUUUUCUAAAUUUGAUAUGAAGAGUGGAUUUUGGCAAAUCCAAAUUUGUGAGUCUGAUAGAUAUAAAACUGCUUUCGUUACCCCAUUUGGUUAUUAUGAGUGGAAUGUUAUGUCAUUUGGUCUUAAAAAUGCACCCAGUGAGUUUCAAAAUAGAAUGAAUGAGAUUUUUAUUCCAUUUAAUCACUUUUCCAUAGUCUAUAUUGAUGAUGUACUUAUAUUUUCUGAGUCAAUAGAACAGCACUGGAAAAAUUUGCAUAAGUUCUUACAAAUAGUCAAACAAAAUGGAUUAGUCGUAUCUGCUAAGAAAAUUAAGUUAUUCCAAACUAAUGUGAGAUUUCUUGGGUUUAAUAUCUGUCAGUCACAGAUUAGCCCCAUAGAUCGAGUUAUCCAAUUUGUUGAUAAAUUUCCUAAUCAAAUCCUAGACAAAAGUCAACUCCAGAGAUUUCUAGGAUCUCUAAAUUAUGUUUCUAAUUUCUAUAAGAAUUUGAGAAAACAAUGUAAGCCUUUAUUUGAUCAUGUAUGGAGACGUCUAAUGAUAAGAGGCAACUGGAAGAUUAGACGGAGCAAUAUCUUGGAAGGGAUCAUGACUGGAUAUUAGGGCAGACUGAAAACUGGGGCGAACCUGGCCGACUGUGGCUCCUAGGUUGGCAAAUCUGUUACUAAUUUGGAUGGGAGAAAAUCCCUGAAAGGGGAGGAUCUGAGCAGGUGACUCUUGUUUGGCUUGACUCAUUGAUGGAGGGAGGACUCGGAGUGACUGGGGUUGACUAGACUGACCAACUUGACUCUUUUGCUUGUCUUUUUCUUUUCUUCUUUAUGCCAUUGUUUUCCCUGCAGGAAUUCUCUAGUAAGAAAAUCAGGGACAAAAUAUAUAUAUGGAGUUUGAGUUGAGGGAUCUCUCAAAUAAGCUUAUUUGAGAGACAACUUGUAGGGUACACUCUUUGUUGUAUUUCACUAAUCCUAACCGUCUAUUUUUUAGAUAUUCAUUCAAAGAUCAUCUCUACAAAAAAUCACUUGAAUCCAAUAUCAUUUGACAAUUCAAUUGAAAUAUUGAAAUUUUAGUAUUUUCUUGAAGCACUGUGUUAAUUAAUUUUGUAUGACACAAUUGAAUAUUGAAAUAGUUUCCGAUUUGUCCAAUUUUUUUUCAAGGAUGAUCUAUAAUUGUAGGCUUAAGAAAUAGAUGGUUUGGAUCGUUGAGGGAUCCCUCAAAUAAUCUUAUUUAAAAGACACCUUUGUAGAGCUCACUCCACAUUGUAUUUCACUAAUCUAAACCGUUUAUUUUUUAGAUAAUCAUUCAAAGAUCACCUCUACAAAAAAUCACUUGAAUCCGAUAUCAUUUGACAAUUCAAUUGAGUUAUUGAAAUUUUAGUACUUUCUUAAACUACCGUGUUCAUUGAUUUUGAAGGACAUAAUUGGAUUUCGGUUUCUAUUUGUCAAAAUAUAUAUAUAUUGAACUACUUUUUGUUGCCAUUGUCUGCUGCUAGAUUCACACACACAUAUAUAUGCUCUUCCAUUGAUGAAGCUGGCAUUAUAUUUAUAGUGAAUUUCGUGAUGUGGAUUAUUGUGUUUGCGGACCAAUCAUUCUCUGUAUGUUGUGAAAGCUUUGUUUAUCAUGGUGGGUUUUGUCAUUUAAAAACAUAUACAAUGUCAACCAACCAAUUUUACAAUAUCAUAAAACACAAGUAAUAGUAUUACUGCAGUUGGAAAUUGAUAUUGCAUACAUAUAUAAAGCAAGAAACAACAUGCUCAAUCAGCCACAAGUGAAGAAACAACUUGCUGAUACAUAACCACAUGACAUGAAAAUUUCAUGCAAAUAACUAGUAAUUAUAAUGGAGUCACACUAGAAGCUGCUGCAAAAUGAGUUGGUGUCCAGAACUCUUAUUUCUAGCAAGCAACUGGCUCUCUCUCAUUUAUUCUAACUCACUAGUUGAGAUGGACAGGUGGAGUUCAGGGCUUCUGGGGUGGAUUGUAGUAUGGGGGAGGCUUCUUCUUAUAUGGAGUUGGAGGAGGAGGAGGUUUCUUCCCUUCUGGCUUUUGUGGGGGUAGAGGAGCCUUGAUUGGAGGAGGGUGUUUAGGGUAACUAGGUGUGAUUGGUUUCACAACAGGAGGUAGAGUUGGUGUCUUAGGAUAAGGUGGUGGAAGUGGCUUGGUCACCGGCGUAGGUGGCGGUGAAUGUACAAUAGGAGGCUGAGUGCUUGGUGGUUUGCCAUAAGGUGAGGAUGGUGGUGGCCUCACCACUCUAGGAGGCAGAGUUGGUGGUUUGGGUUUGGGCACUAUUGGUGGUGAUGGCUUGUUAUAAACUGGGGGUGAUGGCUUCUUGAUGGGAGCUGGGGGCUUGUAAAUAGGAGAAGGAGUUGGUGGUUUGGGUUUGGGCACUAUUGGUGGUGAUGGCUUCUUGAUGGGAGCUGGGGGCUUGUAAAUAGGAGAAGGAGUGGGUGGCUUGGGUUUUUCAUUGUACUCAGCUAGAGAUGAAGUGAUGAGAACCACCAGGCCAAACAAUAGCACAAGCAACUUUGAGUAACUCAUGGUGUUUGUGUUUUUGUGAUGGUAUAAGAUCUAGACGGCAUCGUUUGCUAUUUAUAGUGCUCUCAGGCCUGUGUCGGCAAUACGUGUCAAAAGAUCUUGGUCAUUUUGUUUCAUAGUUAACAGUCAAGGAUUUUCAAAUUCAUGAGAAGAAAAGUACGAUUUUUUUGGCUGAAUAAAAGUUUAGAAGAGGGGAGGCUACACCAUCUUAGAGUUAGGACAUAUCAAAGUUUUCUUGAGGAUUUACAGAGGGGGUUUUAGUCUUUUUUUUUUGUUUUUACAGAUUAUCCCCCAAAAAGAAUUUUCGGCAACAGAACCCGAAUCUAAGUCUUGAUAGCAAAGAGAAUGAUCCUUAUCAACUCAACCAACCCUCGUUGACAGAGAAGUAAGAUUUUCAAUUGGUACGGAUGAUUGUUGAUAUAAGUGUUGUUGAUAGAGAAUCCCAAGUAUAAAUGGUAAAUUCUCUUAAUCAUUUGAGCAACAAAUUCUUUAUAAGUAAUUUGACUGAUUGAUUAUUGAUUGCAAUAAUGGUAAGUGUAAAUAAAAAUUGAGUAGUAUUUAAUGGAAAAUGACAUGACAGUAUUUUACUAGUUGAAAAUAGAACCAAGUUGUCGGUGUAGAUAAAAACAAAUGAUUCAGUCUUCCAAAAUGUGGAGAUUUGAAUUUGUGUUCGUCUAGCAUUAAUCUUUUAAAAAGAUUUUGGAUUUUUAUGUGAAUUUAAGUUAAUUUGAGUCUACAUUAUGCGUUCCAUGGUCUAUAUAAUUUAGACUGGUUUAAUUUUCCACAUUGAAUGACUUUUGUAUGUGGACUUUUCCCCCCAUCUUUCUUUAUUAUUGUCCUCUCCUCCGUUGUCGUUAGUUUUGUCACUUAUCAUCCUUGUGGUGUGAUGAUAAUUGGAAACGAGUGUUUCUAUUCUCGUUUCCCAAGCUAUGUUAUUAAAAUCUAACAUGAUUUGCAAAGGAUUCAUUAGGGUAGUAAUUUGGAGUAUUUAUUUCCUCAGGUAAGUUCUGGGUUCGAGUCGUAGUAUCUGUGUAGUGUGUGAGAGUUUAGCAUGCUAUUGCCCCUCUCAAUAGGAAAGGUCCUAAAAAAAAUCUAACAUGGUUUAUAUUGGUAUCAGGACUCUUCCAAUGGGACUACUGAGGGAACUGAGGCCAAGCCAUUGAUAUGUCAGCUUAGCGUUAAUGAAGAAAUAAAUAUAUUUGCUAACCAAGGUGGUAUGGGACUAGUGUGUAAGUAAAUGCCUUCUUCAUUGGGCUAGACUCUGUUAGCAUUAGGCAUUAAAACUUAAUAUCUCUUCCAACGGUGAAAAAAGAUGUAUCACUGAAUCACUAUAGGUACGGUAUUAUUUCACUUUCAUCUUUUACUAUCUAUUUUCAACGUACUAUAUCACUAUUGGAACAAUGCAAAAUUUCUGGAAUCAAUUAGGGAACAAAGGUGUGAAUAUUAUAUCUCCGUUCCCUUUUGUAAUAAAAUAUGUAUAGAGUUGAGCAAUGGUCACAAAAUUCGUUGCUUUCCAAUAGAUUGCUAUUUCAUUUCUGGUUAAAUCGUCUUGUAGUGGAAAAAACUGAGUCUUCAGCAGCCGCGUUUCUUGAUUUCUCUCAUGGAUUUGGUGAAUUUGAUGGCUGCUUGCGGACCAAUUAGCCGAAGGACAUGUGCUCUCUAUCUAACCCCGUCAUAGUCUGUAUAGCUCUACCUAAAAGGUAAAAAUCAGAGAAAGGAGAGAUCGGACUUGCGACCAAAUAUAUAGUGAGACACAUUACAAGAUUCUUGAAAGAUCUUGAGCCUCUCGAUCUAAAUUGGUUUUGAUUUGGAUGUUCAUAUUUUAUAUUCUAUAUAUAUAUAAUAACGUAAUAUAUUUACUAAUCUUGUUUUUACAGAAAAUUGUUAAGGAUUAUUGCAAAACGAAAGUGUAUUUGUUUAUUUGUUUGGGUUAUUCCCACAAUGUUCAUCCCACCGCCGCGUAUUUUGCUUUCUCUAUAGUGGUUAGGUCCAUUCACGUCAAUAUUAUAUUCAAUCUAAUUUUAGCUUUCAAUUACCAGUGUCCACUCGGUUUUCUUGACGUUUUGAUGUCAUGUAUUGGACCCGAAUAUCGGAUAUCAUCUGUCUCUUCCGCUGAUGAAGGGAUAAAUGCCAUCGAAUCAGAAGAUCUUACUUUUCCAAGGGGGCUUUUCUCUUGUCUCCUCCCAAUCUUCGUCGACUAAGAUCUUACUUUUCUUUUUCUUCUUUUAUAUUUCUACCUUCUUAAUCACUGUACGAAGGGAGAAUUUAUCAAAAAUAGCUAAAAUUUGACUCUUAAUUUCAAAAAUGUUAAUUUUUGUAAAAAUUUCAAUAUAACAGAAAACUCACUUAAAUAGAUACAAAUGUCCUUAAAUUUAAAACUUACAUAAACCUAAAAAAGAAACCUUAUUAAAUAAAACUUUGAAAUAUUUCCUCCAAACACUUUUCCAAUCACCUCUAUUUCUUUUUCUCUUUUUUUUUCCUUCUUCCGUUUGUCUCCAGCAUCACUCCCUCUCUUUUCCUUUUUUUUUUUCUUUCUUCUUCUCUCCACAUAUAUAUAUAUAUAUAUAUAUAUAUAUCUAUCUAUCUAUCUCUCUCUCUCUAUCUCUCUCUCUCUCUCUCUCUCUCUCUCUCUGUGCAUAUCUCUAUUCUUCUUCUCUCCCAUUUUCUCCAAAUAAAAUGUAUGUAUUUAUUUGGCAAAAAAAAAAGUAUUUAGAACCAAAAAUUCAGAAAAUGAUUGAAUCAAUGCACAAGUAUAAUUUCCUCCUCUCACCCAAAAAAAAAUAUUUAUUUCACAUAACUUUAAUUCUUCAAAAACUGUCACAAAUUUAGAGGUAGUCUGUAGAACAAAAAAUUCAAUAAAACGAUCUACAUUAAAAAAAUAUAUAAUUAAAUAUUCAUUCAUUACAAUUCAUAAAGUUAAAGAGAAAAAUAUUACACCAGUCCGUCUAUGAGGUAGGAUGAAGUGCAAUUGAAUUCUUGGAAGUUUGUCAAUAAUGGCCAAUUGAACCACAUCUUGAACACUUACGAGUUGAUGGUUCUUCUCCUCGUGAUGGGAUUCUCUUUUCCUCAAGCCUGCCGUGCCUUCUUCGUGUAAUUGGUGGUAGCACAAUUCUAUCUCGUACAUCAUCAAGCACCACCCAAUCUGUUUGAUCCCCAACUAGCCAUAUAGAUUCUGCAUCCGCAAUUACCAAUGAGUUUGUAGUAUAAUAUUUUGAACACAUUGGGUAGCACGAAAUUUGUCAAUGCGUACAUGCAGCACAAGCAUCUUCUGCUACACAUAUGUCAGAAUCAUCAUAUUACUAGACUCAAUAAUUUUCCAAGCCUAUCAGCACUAACCUUUGAUGCAGGCUCAAAGUGAAUUGACGAUAUUAAAUCAUAGCACUUUGAAUAGGGCUCAAGAGUCCAUUAACAGAAAUGUCGCAACUAUGGACAUUAAGUUAGCAAAACCAGAAUUGAAAUUUUAUAAAUAUAGUAUGAAGAAUAAACGAAGAAACGAAGUAACGAAGAAGAAAUUGAACGAAGAACCAAAGAAGAACAGCACUCUACGUACAAAGAUUCUCAAUCUAAUAGGGUUUUGUUUUUUAGGUUUAUGUUGGUUUUAAAUUUAAGGGUAUUUGUGUCUAUUUAGGUGAGUUUUCUUCUAUAUUUGAAAUUUUUUAUAAAAACUAACAUUUUUGAAAUUAGGGGUCAAGUUUUGGCUAUUUUUGAUAAAUUCUCAUACGAAGGAUUAUCUUUUAGGUGUGAACCUUAAAACACCAUUGGAUGAGAUUUAUGAUUCGUGUAGGAAAAAAAAAUCAAAGGAAGAAUGAGGAGAGCGAUGUUGAAGAAUAUUGAAGUCCCACAUCAGAAACUUAACAAAAUAAUCAAAUACUCCAUAUAAUGAAUGAUUCCACUAUUAAUAAUAUCGAGACUUUUUGUAUAAAAUUUCACAACUGCUAAACAAAUGGUUAAAUUAAAGACAAUAUUGAUAUUAUUAGUAGUGGGUCAUGAGUCCCGAAUAAUUCAAGGGUCAUGAGUCCCGAAUAAUUCAAGGGGAUGGUUUGAAAAAUUCAAUCUAAUUCUGGCUUUCAAUUACUAGUAUCCACUCGUUUUUCCUGAUGUUUUGAUGUCAUGUACUGUUUGAUUUUCAAACUAAUUAUGGGAUGGUUUGAAAAAUCAAACUAAUUAUGGGAUGGUUUGAAAAAUCAAACUUAGAGAAAGCAACCCUUACUGCCUAGAAAAAGAAAAAGGUUAGCCGGCCCUAACUUCUCGUUAAGGAUAAAAAUUUGAACCGGCAAAUCAGUGAACCGGAACCGAAUCUGCAUGAACUGGCUAUAUUUAUAUCUAGUUUUUAAUUUAUUUUUACAGAUGUCUUGUUCUCAUUGUUUUUUUUUUUUGACCUUUCCUAUUGAAAGGGGCGAUAACAUAUUAAACUCACACACACAACACGGAUGUCUUGUUAUCAUUGUUGAUUCUAUACAAUUAGUACAAAGUAAUUUAACAAACAAAGCAAUUUUCUAAAACGGUCCUCCUUUUUUCUCCUUCUAUGGUUUGGUCCUCCUAAUCUAUUCACGGCAAUACUUUGGGCACUGAGGUGAUUGAGCAUAGCCAUUGACAAUAAUACAAUUUAAAGUCUUAAACUCUAUACUUAGCUUAGGGUUAAGUAUUCCAUUAGUGGCAGAAUGUUAAGGCUAAAUAUACGCUAUCUUAAAAAGUCAACCACAAUUAUAUAUGUAACGCACUAUAAAUAUAAAAUGGGGUUAAUGACCUAAAUGGUCUUUCAACUAUUGCUCCAUUAUCAUUUUGGUCCACCAACUAAAAUUUUCAAUUCAAACGUCCUCAAACUUUUUAUUUUGUACCAAGAUGGUCCAUCCGUGACAGAUUCUGUUACUUCUGAUCACGCGAUGGCCACGUGACUGAGUUUUGAAGGGUAUAUGCAACUUUUUGAGAAGCUUUAUCGAAGGGUAUCACUAAAAUGGUCCAUCAACUGUUGCUUCAGUAUCAUUUUGGUCCACCAACUAAAAUUUUCAUUUGAACUGUCCUUCUACUUCUUUUUUUUUUCUUUUUUUUUUGUUAUCAAGAUGGUCCUACUAUCAAAGUCCAUCAAUUUUAUUGUUAUUUAAUUUUGUAUUUAUCUUAUUUUAAAAUUUUUAAUUAAUUUAAACAAUAGAGAAAUAAAUAUUACUUUUUAAGUCCAUGUCAUAAAAUAAAAAAAGCCAUGUUGGUGGUGAGAUUCAAUUUUUUCAAUUUUAAAAUUAGGUACAAGUUCCUAUAAUAGUUUCCUUUAAUUUUAAUUAUUAUUUUCUCUUUUAAAAAAUUUGUUAUUAUAUAUAUGUGAUUUUAAUUAAUUUAAACAAUAGAGAUUUUAUUAUUAAUUGUUAGGUCAGUGUCAUAAAAAAAAAAAAGCCAUGUGGCUAGUGAGAUUCAAAUUUUUAAAAUUUUUUAAGUUUUAUAAUAGUUUCCUUGAUACCAAAAAAAAAAAAAAGAGUUGAAGGAUGGUUCAAAUGAAAAUUUUAGUUGGUGGACUAAAAUGAUACUAGAGCAAUAGUUGGGGGACCAUUGUGAUCAAUAACCCUUUUAGAAGAGGAUACUCACCUAAAAAUACGGUUUUGUCCCUCGAUUUCACGGAAUAAUACACAGACUUUGACAGAUGGACCAUCUUGGUACAAAAUAAAAAGUUUAAGGACGUUUGAAUUGAAAAUUUUAGUUGGUGGACCAAAAUGAUAAUGGGAGCAAUAGUUGGGGGGACCAUUUAGGGUCAUUAACCCAUAUAAAAUCGUUAAGGGUAAUGUUAUACUAGAUCCCGAGUCUAUGCAUUUAGAGUCCACGCAUUUACCCGUAUUUGACUUCAUAUCAACCAUUACAAAGAUCCAACGACUUAAAAUAUGAUAGAUCAUUAUUACAUCAUAAAGUUUUAUUUUUCUAACUGACGUUACUGUUACCAUUUCCUCAAAGCCUUUCUCCCUUGCUUGUUCUCUUCCCUCUCUAAUCUCUCUCAAUUUUUGCUUCUCAUGAAUAUCUACUACCCAGCAUCAUAAAUUGAAUUUCCUAUUUUUAGUACAAUUUCAAUCAAUUCCCCCAUUGCCAAUUGGUUUUGGAGUGUAACCUCAACUUCCUUCACUUAUGUCCUCAGGCUCUCUCCAGUUUGUAUUGUUUGCUUUUUGGGUUUUGUGUAGGUGAAGGAAGUUGAUAAUUGAGUCUGAGAGCGUUUAUGGUGGCGAGAAAGCUUUGUUUCAAUGGAUGUUCUUUUUUUGCAAUGUCUGUUGAUUUGGCUUCCUCGUUUUUAGAGAGACAGAGUUAAUGGAAGGACUAAUGUUAGUUUAGGGAAGAAAAAAAAAACUAAAUUUCAUAACCGACACGUGGUAUAAAAUGUAGAGAUGCCAUAUUAUGUGAUAUAAAAAUGUGGUAAGACUAAUAUUAUUGUAACCGUAAUCAUAUGAUUCAAACUUGAAACCUCAUUCAACUAAGUGAAGACAACUACCCAAAAAAUCAUAAACUAAUUGACAUAAAAACUAUUUAUUAUAAACAAAUUUUGAAUCCAUAUUUUCUGUUAAAUAUAGAUGUAGGACUAGGGUUAAGUAUUAAGUUGGAUGAUAUUUUUGUCUUUUUACUAUAAUUAUUCUCUCUGCUGCUACGGGAUGGGUUAAGGCCUCCCUUGCUGCUGUGAUUAAGGUGGAUAAGGUGCAUUCUUUUAUCUAUUGGAAACCUCCUCGCCCUGCUCAGUUUAAACUUAAUGUUGAUGGGUCUAGAUGCACUUCCUCUGGAUGUAUUGGGGCUGGGGUUGUGAUUCGUGAUGCUUAUGGGGGCGGAUUGGUGGUUUUUCAGUGCACCUUGGCCACAGACAUAUCUUGGAUGCUGAAAUUUGGGGGUUAUAUUUUGGCCUUAAGCUUGCUGUGACUAAGGGUAUAAGCUGCCUUAUUAUUGAAAUGGAUGCUGCUGUGGUUGCCCAACUAGUCAAGAAUAUUGAUGGUCUGGCUCACCACCCCUUUGCUUUACUGAUUAAUGUUUGCUGUGCUCUCAUGCAACAAUUUGCAAAUAGUUGCACUCUCCUUCAUAUUUACAGAGAAGGAAAUUGUGUGGCUGACGGUUUGGCAAAUUGGAGUUACAACUUAGACCUGGGUAUCCUUUAUUUUAAUGAAGCUCCAAAUGUGUCAUAUCUUAAUUCAUUAGAUUAUUAGAACGAUGGGUAAAUGCACACUAUCUAAAUGCAGAGGCUCAGAAUCCGCCUAGUUUAAACUUUUAAGCUAUUUAUAUAUAUAUAUAUAUUUUAUAGAGAUGGACCAAUCAUAUUGAAUUAAAAAAUAACUAUAGUAUUUAUGAUUCCCUAAACUAUGGAGUAUGAUUAGAGUUCAAAUUUGGUAGAGAACUCCUAAAAUAACUUUUAUGUGUUUUUAGCUAAAUUUUAGACACACAAAACUGACCACAUUAGCCGACCACCUUAUGUGGCAGCUGAUGUGGUCAUGCCAUAUUUUUAUCUCACAUUUCCAUACCACAUAAUGUGGCAUGUCCAUAUCAUAUGCCACAUCAAUUAAAUCAAUAGAGUGUAUUUUAAUUAAGACAAUUAGAAAAAAAAAUACUGGAAUAAAUCAUAAAAGAAAAGAAAAUAUUAAAUACUUUUAAUUGAUGUGGUUAUCCACCUCAGCUGCCACAUAAGAUGGUAUAAGGAUGUAGUAUACAAAUAUAGUAAGAGUAGCAUUAUUCUUUCAAUAUAGUAAUCAUCGUUUAGAGAAAGAGUAAGGCUACACUUACUAUAUUUUUAUACCACAAUCCUAUACUAUAUGAUGUGGCAAUCCACAUAAUUAAGCUGACACGUUAAUAAAUUGUGAUAAAAGGUAUUUAAUAUAUUAUUAAUAAUAAUAAUUAAUAUAAUAUAUUAUUAAUUCAACAAACAAUUUAGGGUUAAGUCUUUAUUUAUUUAUUUAGUUCGCAUAAUAGGGUUAAGCCUUUUAUUGAUGUUCUAUUAUGUUCGUCUCUUUCUCUUGCCAGUUUUUUGGUCGGCUUGUUAAUAAAUCACCUACUGUUUUUUUUUUUUUUUAAAAGAAAAAGAUUUCAUUCAUAAGCCAAAACGGCAUACAAAGACUGACAUUAAUUCAUUAGCCUCAUUAAUACCUUCAUAGGAAAACCACUUAGGAUAAACCCCAAGGUAGGAAAGAGUACCACCUAUGUCAAUGACUAACAAGAGAGUUUGACCCAGACCACAAAAGACAGUUACAAGAACAGAAAAAAAAAUCCAACUAAACACCAACAGAGUGGACUCAACUGUCAAAAGAAGCCUUCUAUGAAAAAAACUCUUAGUCCUUUGACUGCCCAUGAACUGCAAAAACACACCAAGGAUAGAAACCCAAGAGAGCAUACGGAGGAAGAGCACAAAAAAAUAACAAGAGAGGCCCUGAAAAGCACCCCAACUCAACUUAGAACCUGACAAAGAAACUUCUAUGACCAAACAUAGGUCUUCGGGCAGCGCAGAGCAGAGACGAGCUGCAAAGGAGCAACAUAACAAUGGAAAAUGACAGCAAAACAGAACACAUCCCAACAACUACCAUCAGUGUCUGUCGCUGCCAUCAAAACAUAGACAAAACAUUAGCCACCAGGUAUCACAACGCUCCCGAAAAAAGAUCAAAUCCAGCGUCACUACUGCUGCCGUCAUCGAGACAGAGACAACACCAGCCACUUACACCACUGCAAAAACAACUAAAUAAAACAAACAGACCUAGAUCCAAACAUAUCAAGGCUAAAAACCCAAGAUCUAAUUAGAUUUGGGAGGAGAAGAGGAAGGGGAUAGAAGGGCCAGCAAGAGCCCCUAGGAAAGUGGGAAGAGAGGGAGAGAGGAGGAAAUGGAGGGAAAAAGAUGGGAAAAGAGGAGAUGAAGGGAGAUGAUGGGCAGUGGCCACCUCCCAUAGCUUAGGAAAGGGUGGUUGUCGGCAAGGAGAAAGAGGGAGGGUUUUGGCUAGGGUUUACUUUGCUAUCUCUUUUGCGUAGCAAUAAAUCACCUACCGUAGGAGUUGCAUAAAAUCCGAUUGCAAAUCCUAGAACUCCCAAAAUCAGAUCGAAUCGUGGCUUAAUUAGCAUCUAUAUGGUCAUAAACAGAUGAAAUCAUGGGUAUUGAAAAAUGAUAAUGAUAUAUCAAAUCUCCUAAAAUCAUCCUUGUCGGUAGAGAAGUUUCAGCGUUGUUCAACAAUUGAAGAUGAGGGUAACACAUUUAAUUCAUUAAUGAUAAGAGCAUUUUAAUACAUAUAACUUGUCUUCCCUAAAAUUACUCUUGCUAGCAUUUUAUUUAGCUUACUUUGCAUUAAUUAUGUUGUUUUUGUCAAUUGGGGUGUUUUGGAAGAUUUCAAUAAAAAAAUAAGGAUAUUUUAGUGCUUAUUAUUCUUGAAUUUGCACAUGGCAGCAACUUUGGGGAGCCAGCAGCUAGAGGAAAUCAUUCAUGUGUGCAGCGAAUGAAAGGCAAUAGGAAUUAAAAAAGAUGGCAAGACUUGCUACACCUUCUGACCAAGGAAGAAAACCCACGUGCGCGAGCAGCCAAAGCCAAAGUAAUGUGUGCAGCAACAAAUGAAAAAGAAAAGGAAAAAGUAUAAAGAAUGAUGUUGGCUGACAAAAGAUAUGAAAUUCAAAUGCCAAUAUGCCUACACGUGAUGAGCAGAGAAAGAUGAAGAAAAGAAAGAGGAAUGGCAGCAGCAAGUUGAAGACCAAUUGGAAGACAUAUGAUGUACAGCAGCCAAAAGAAGAAUGAAAAUGAAAAUAAUGAGAAAGAAUGUUGAGCUGCAGCUUACACGUGAAGAAAGCAAAGGAAAGCAUGGGUAUUUGUGUUCAGCCAAAAGAAGAAGGAAUAAAGCGAUGUUGAUGUAAUAUAACCCACGUUGGUGAUGGGUUAAUGGCAGCUGCAAGAGGAUCUCAUUCCUCUAUAAAUACAGAGCAAUGCAAUGGAAGAGGUGUGCAGAAUUUGGGCACCAAAUAGAGAUAGUGUAGUCCAGUGGAGAAAAGACCCUGGGGAGCAGAGAGGCAAGAAACCAGGGGCAUCUGCCAUUUUAGUUUUUCUUUUUUAAGUUUUCAGCUAGUUUAUAGGGAUAAGGAAAAUGCCAAUAUAAUUGGAGAGAACCUUGGGGAGUCGUGAGGCAACGAUCCAAGGGAUUGAUGAUGCAGUUUCUCCUUCUCUUCCAUGUUUUAGUUUUAUUUCUUCUUUGAGUUUUCAUAUUGUUUUUAUUUUCACUUAUAUCUAGCUAAACUCCUUUAUUAAGGUUGAGGGGGAAACACCAUUAUGAAAUAAAGUUUUAGUUUUUAUUUUUCAAUUCCCAACUAUUAUAUUCUUCAAUGUUUAUAAUUUCACUUCACAUGAUUAAUAAAUUAAUUUUCUUUUCACCACUUCGAUCGUGUAUUUGUGGUAGUUCAGAAUUUAAGUUAAUCUAUUAAUGCAUCCUUGAUUUUGUAUUACUAGUAUACACAUAUCUUCGAUCAUUUGUAGUUAAAUAAUAUUUUUCACAUAGGAUGUUCAGAAUUUGUACUUAUGAAGGGAAGGGGAAUUUAUAUAAGAGAAUUUAUAUAAGAUUCAUUAAAAUGCAUGUUUAAUUGAUAUAUCUUGAGAAAGCAGUAAAUUGAUUCCUAGAUUGCUACUCCAGAGAAUUGUUAGAUAGAUAAUUAGAGUUUUAUAGAAUAAUGGCGUGUAAUCUAAAACCUUAGUUAUUUUUCUCAUUCAUUUAAUCCAUUCUAGUUAUUAUUUGCAUUUUUAAUUUUUAUGCUUUAUUUAAUUUUCUUUUCAACCAACAAAUCAACUUUGAAUCAACUAGGUUAGCGAUUGAAUUAAAUUGGGUUGGAUUAGUUUCCAUCAUUUUCACACAAGUAUUAUAAAUUUAAAACAACACAUUUGGGUGGACAACAAGUUUAAAGUAUUUAUAAAAUAAAGCAACAUUAUUUAUAGAGAACCAAUAUGAGUUCUUUCUCUUUUCUUGGAUUUAGGAGCUCCUAAAAGUCUCUCUAUUUUAGAAGGUGGAUAGGGAG